rnacentral:rRNA from 1 species
CUUAGCUUGCUAAGGCCGAUGGCGACCGGCGCACGGGUGAGUAACACGUAUCCCAUUUGGCGUCUACUCUUGGACAGCCUUCUGAAAGGAAGAUUAAUACAAGAUGGCAUCAUGAGUUCGCAUGUUCACAUGAUUAAAGGUAUUCCGGUAGACGAUGGGGAUGCGUUCCAUUAGAUAGUAGGCGGGGUAACGGCCCACCUAGUCUUCGAUGGAUAGGGGUUCUGAGAGGAAGGUCCCCCACAUUGGAACUGAGACACGGUCCAAACUCCUACGGGAGGCAGCAGUGAGGAAUAUUGGUCAAUGGGCGAGAGCCUGAACCAGCCAAGUAGCGUGAAGGAUGACUGCCCUAUGGGUUGUAAACUUCUUUUAUAAAGGAAUAAAGUCGGGUAUGUAUACCCGUUUGCAUGUACUUUAUGAAUAAGGAUCGGCUAACUCCGUGCCAGCAGCCGCGGUAAUACGGAGGAUCCGAGCGUUAUCCGGAUUUAUUGGGUUUAAAGGGAGCGUAGAUGGAUGUUUAAGUCAGUUGUGAAAGUUUGCGGCUCAACCGUAAAAUUGCAGUUGAUACUGGAUAUCUUGAGUGCAGUUGAGGCAGGCGGAAUUCGUGGUGUAGCGGUGAAAUGCUUAGAUAUCACGAAGAACUCCGAUUG